GCCCAUUAAGUCAUCUCAACAUGGUGUCUCAACUUUUUCCAGUACUUAGACAAUAAUAGUUUAGCUUCAUUGUAGAGUCUACUCAUGGAUUGGGAUCCCAUUAAGAGCUGCCAGAUGCUGUGAGGACAAAAGCAGGGAAAAUGCUCUGCAUAAUUUAAACCCAGGAAGAAACGAGAGGGAAUAACAAUAGAGAAAAGAACUGAAGAAAUCUUCCUGCCAACUUUGCUGAAUGUUACUCAGCAUCCACGGA